rnacentral:rRNA from 1 species
AAGCUUGCUUCUUUCAAAUCUAGUGGCAAACGGGUGAGUAACACGUAAACAACCUGCCUUUCAGAGGGGGAUAACAUUUGGAAACAGAUGCUAAUACCGCAUAAGAUUACAGUACCGCAUGAUACAGUGAUCAAAGGAGCAAUCCGCUGAAAGAUGGGCUCGCGUCCGAUUAGAUAGUUGGUGAGGUAACGGCCCACCAAGGCGACGAUCAGUAGCCGGACUGAGAGGUUGAACGGCCACAUUGGGACUGAGAUACGGCCCAGACUCC